rnacentral:lncRNA from 10 species
UUUUGAAUCAGUUAGAUUGGGUUUUAUCAUGUAAGCAAAACAGAGAACUGAUUCCCUGAUGCUUUCGUUCUAUCUUCAGUUGUUUGUGGCAUUAUAGAGACAACACUUACGUAUGUUUCAAGCUACUUUACCUUUGUAUUUCAGGCCACAUUUCCUAGGGAGACUGUCUAAGGGAAAAUGAUUUUCUCUUUAGUUAUGAGACAAAGCCUAUACCUACAAAUUAGUUUGAUCACUUUGGUUGAGUUUACUAGUAAAGAGCCCUCCUAAAUAGUUUACAUGAUAUGUGUCUACACGUGUGUAUCUGAUUUGCCAAAAUUGAAAUAUUUUGUACAUGGCAAAUACGUUCUUUAAAUGUGUAAGCAAAUAGGUUUAUUUUAGUCAACAAUUGAUGACAGGAUAGAAAAAUAACCAGAAAUGUGGAUCCAGCUCUUAUCAUAGAAAAUUUGUACUCCUGUAGAUUCCAUGACAUCCUCACCUCCUGGUUUAUCUUUGACCUUUCUUUUGGAAUUUCUAAGGGUAGGCAUUGAAGUCUUCCAUUAGUCCUUGAAAACUCAGUCAUUACUCCUUUAAGUAUUGUCUCCCCUUUAUUAUCUCUCUCUCUCUCUCCUUCUGGGACUCCGAUUAGUUACAUACUAGGCCUCCCGACAUGUUCUCCCAGUCUCUUAGCCUCUUUCUCAUAUUUUCUAUCUCCUUAUCCCUCUAUGCUACAUUCUGAUUAAUUUCCUCAGAUGUAUCUUCGAGGUAAUUAGUUUUUUUUUCAUCCAUAUUGGUUGAAUCUACCAUUAAAUCUAUUUAUUCAGG